rnacentral:rRNA from 1 species
GAUGAACGCUGGCGGCGUGCUUAACACAUGCAAGUCGAACGGUGAACGAGGGAGCUUGCUCCCUCCGGAUCAGUGGCGAACGGGUGAGUAACACGUGAGCAAUCUGCCCUGGACUCUGGGAUAAGCGUUGGAAACGACGUCUAAUACCGGAUACGAGGCGUGGGGGCAUCCCCAACGCCUGGAAAGAACUUCGGUCCAGGAUGAGCUCGCGGCCUAUCAGCUAGUUGGUGAGGUAACGGCUCACCAAGGCGACGACGGGUAGCCGGCCUGGGAGGGUGACCGGCCACACUGGGACUGAGACACGGCCCAGACUCCUACGGGAGGCAGCAGUGGGGAAUAUUGCACAAUGGGCGCAAGCCUGACGCAGCAACGCCGCGUGAGGGACGACGGCCUUCGGGUUGUAAACCUCUUUUAGCAGGGAAGAAGCGAAAGUGACGGUACCUGCAGAAAAAGCACCGGUUAACUACGUGCCAGCCGCCGCCGUAACAC